AUAUUUUUUGGCACACAUCAAUGUCCACGUUUUUGUGACUUGAUUCGCUGAAAUGUUCCAUAAGUGUGCUAGAACAACC
rfam:Tribolium castaneum strain Georgia GA2 unplaced genomic scaffold scaffold_seqid105, whole genome shotgun sequence.